UCACUAACGAUACAGAGAUGUAUUAGGUGCCCGAAAGGGAAAGUGAGCACAGGUUCUGCAUGGCUGUCGUCAGCUCGCGUCGUGAGAUGUUGGAUUAAGUCCCGCAACGAGCGCAACCCCUGUUGUUAGUUGCUAACAUUAAGUUGAGAACUUUAACGAUACUGCCAGUGACAAACUGGAGGAAGGUGGGGAUGACGUCAAGUCCUCAUGGCCCUUAUGAGCAGGGCUUCACACGUCAUACAAUGGGUAACACAGAGGGAAGCCAACCUGCAAAGGGGAGCAAAUCUCAGAAAAUUACUCGUAGUCCGGAUUGCAGUCUGCAACUCAACUGCAUGAAGUCGGAAUCGCUAGUAAUCGCGGAUCAGCAUGCCGCGGUGAAUACGUUCCCGGGUCUUGUACACACCGCCCGUCACACCAUGGGAGUGGGUUUCACCAGAAGUAGUAUACUAACCGUAAGGAGG
rnacentral:rRNA from 1 species